UUUUUUUAUGUCCUUUACUAAAACCAUAUUGUUUUAGACACUUAAUUGCGUUCGCAUUGACUUUAUGGUAUUCAAGGGGACUACAGCAACAGUCUGGUUUAUUAUUUCCUCUGGUGGAUUGUUGUUACAACACUGUACAAUGCCUCCAUAGAAUAAAUCAACAGCUUUUUUUU